UACGUAGGUGGCAAGCGUUGUCCGGAAUUAUUGGGCGUAAAGCGCGCGCAGGCGGUCCUUUAAGUCUGAUGUGAAAGCCCACGGCUCAACCGUGGAAGGUCAUUGGAAACUGGGGGGACUUGAGUGCAGAAGAGGAAAGUGGAAUUCCAAGUGUAGCGGUGAAAUGCGUAGAGAUUUGGAGGAACACCAGUGGCGAAGGCGACUUUCUGGUCUGUAACUGACGCUGAGGCGCGAAAGCGUGGGGAGCAAACAGG
rnacentral:rRNA from 1 species